rnacentral:rRNA from 1 species
AACGAACGCUGGCGGCAGGCUUAACACAUGCAAGUCGAGCGAGAAAAGUUCUUCGGAGCUUUUCUAGCGGCGGACGGGUGAGUAACACGUGGGCAACCUGCCUCAUAGAGGGGAAUAGCCUUCCGAAAGGAAGAUUAAUACCGCAUAACAUUGUUGAAAGGCAUCUUUUAACAAUCAAAGGAGCAAUCCGCUAUGAGAUGGGCCCGCGGCGCAUUAGCCAGUUGGUGAGGUAACGGCUCACCAAGGCGACGAUGCGUAGCCGACCUGAGAGGGUGAUCGGCCACAUUGGAACUGAGACACGGUCCAGACUCCUACGGGAGGCAGCAGUGGGGAAUAUUGCACAAUGGGGGAAACCCUGAUGCAGCAACGCCGCGUGAGUGAUGAAGGUCUUCGGAUUGUAAAGCUCUGUCUUUAGGGACGAUAAUGACGGUACCUAAGGAGGAAGCCCCGGCUAACUUCGUGCCAGCAGCCGCCGUAAGAC